CUGACACAGAAGCCUGUAGGAAGCAAAGGUGUGGAACAAAAUGCAGGACAAAAAAACGUACCCAUUGACGUUCAUUGACACUUACUGAAUGUUUAUGGAGACUAAACAGUGGAUGUGAGCGCAGUGAUGUGUCACUGACCAGGAAAGAGAAGCCUGAGAUGAAAUGUCCCAGAAAUAGUGAGUGAAGGAAGAACUACUUGGAGUGCUGCAAAAUGUUUUCAAGAUACAAAGACCGCUAUCACAGCUAAGAUAGAAUAACAGUCUUCCCUGCUCAGCUUGUUGAUACUGCGGAGACCUAUACUACAAUCAUUGUUUG
ensembl:lncRNA